AACAAGUCAGCCGGUGGUGGAGGGAGCAGGAGUCAGGGUGUGGGAACCCAGGCUGAGGUAUGCGGGAACGUGCAGACGGCAGCGAAGUCCAAUUUUAGCUGAUUGGGAGGCUGCAGGCAGUUCUUGGAGAAGGGAACAGAGUGGGUCUGGCUCACCUGUCUCUCCCAACCCUAGCUCCUUCUGAAGGCACCGUCCUCCUCUCCCAGGCAGGAAGCAGGUAGGGGAGGGGACCGAUGUCCACCACUGCUGACUGCAGCCUCCUCUGAACCCCGGCUGGGUUUCCCAGGCUGUAGAACAAGUGCCGGAAGAGAUCCAUUUUUUCCUUCACUGAUUCCCGCAUUCGGUCAUUCUGCAAACAAGUGUUGAAUCACCUGCCAGGUGUACCUGCCGGGAGACCCAGCUGUGGACACCUGGUGAGGUCCUGGCCCUCACAGCUGGGCCAUUCCAGCGGGGGGACAGUCAACAGACAAGCAGGAAACAUAAUGACAGCUCCUCCCUGAAGGGCGCCUAGGGAUGAAAGGAGAUGAGCUUUGUCUGGUGCCGGCACCUGGAACGUGCUCAAAAUAUGUUAACAAGGACGAGAAGGGCUCAGCCCUGGAGAGGUACUCUGAAUUUGAGGACUGCUACUGAGUUCUUAUUUCAUAAAACCCAAAUCCUGCUGUUACCAUGUUAAGGCAAACGCUCCCCAUGGCAAAUUCUUCCUGAGCUCUUGUUAUAUGCAUUGUCUCAUUUCAUCCUUACAGUACCCUCAUAAAGAUAAAACUAUCUACUAGGAGAUAGUAGAUAUCUAUCUACUAGUAGUAGAUAUCUAUCUAUCUACACUUCCGAUACCAAAUAUGUGAAUAUUUUUUCCUCCACACCAGCCAAUUCUCCAAUUCUCUGGACACCGGGUAUCCUAUAAUUUAAUUUGAUUCUGACACUACUUACCUGGAGUUGGGUAUCGAAUCCCACAGGUUUAGGGCUCAGUCCCACAGACUGCUGGGAGUCCUGAUCCCACACCCUGGGCAGGGCAAGGUGUUAGGUCAGACAGACAGAAACCAGUCCGUAUGCCUGUGUGUCUCUUUGCAUGUGAGGUUUUGUUUGGGGUUGUAUGUCUCUCUAAAGAAGGCUGAGUGUCAAAGAACUGAUGCUUUCGAACUGUGGUGCUGGAGAAGACUCUUGAGAGUCCCUUGGACUGCAACGAGAUGAAAGCAGUCAAUCCUAAAGGAAAUCAACCCUGAAUAUUCACCAGGAGGACUAAUGCUGAAGCUGAAGCUCCAAUACUUUGUCCACCUGAUGUGAAGAGCUGACUCAUUGGAAAAUGCCCUGAUGCUGGGAAAGAUUGAAGGUGGAGGAGAAGGGGGUGGCAGAGGAUGAGAUGGUUGGAUGGCAUCACCGACUUGAUGGACAUGAGUUUGAGCAAGCUCUGGGAGUCGGUGAUGGACGGGGAGACCUGGCGUGCUGCAGUGCAUGGAGUUGCAAAGAGUCAGAUACAACUUAGCAACACAACCCUUCGCCUCCUCAGAGCAGUCUCUCAGAGCUAUCUGAACUGCUGUCUGCCUGGCUGCAGUCCUCAUUUUGGUCCAAAUAAAACUUAACUGGCAACUCUUA